rnacentral:rRNA from 1 species
CAAAUUUUAAAUCUACCUGGUUUCCAGGUCGAGUUGUAAUUUGAAGAAGUGUUUUUUACUUUCCGGGUUGGGUUAAAUCCUUUGGGAUAAGGUAUCAUGGAGGGUGAGAAUCCCGUGUAUACCAACCGCAGGAUYGUUUAAUAUACACUUUCUAAGAGUCGAGUUGUUUGGGAAUGCAGCUCUAAAUGGGUGGUAAAUUUCACCUAAUGCUAAAUAUAAGCGAGAGACCGAUAGCGAACAAGUACCGUGAGGGAAAGAUGAAAAGAACUUUGAAAAGAGAGUUAAAUAGUACGUGAAAUUGUUGAAAGGGAAACGGUURAAGUCAGUCAUGCCGGCGGGAAUCAACUUAGGGGAAACUCUGAGUGCACUUCUUCGCUUGGCAGGUUAGCGUCGAUUUUGGAUGUCAUAAAAUGACUGGGGGAAGGUAGCUCUUUCGGGAGUGUUAAGCCCUURGUAGAUGUGAUGUCCGGGAUCGAGGAUUGCAACGGAUACCUUUUGGGCUAACCGCCUAGUCUCUAAUACGAAGUUGGGUUAUGGACAGCACGCUGACUGUGAUCUGAUUUUCGGUUAAAAGAU